CUCUUGCCCUGAAGACCCUCUGGCUCCUCAUCCUCAAUGGCCACAGGGCAUCCGUCUGCUCUGCCAGCUCCGAGCGCCCUCAGACCAUAAUGGUGCAGGGGAAGAAGAGUGAUUAAGUACCAUGGAUUGUCAACAGAGCACACACAUCUGUCUUGGCAGAGGUGCGGCCAGAAUGCUCUGUAGAGAGCACUGCCAGAUCCAUUCCUGUGUCUUUAAUCGCUUGUAGGAUUCAUCUGCAAGUAUUACCGCUUAUCACUGUUUUAAAUCAGAAAUACAGUGAACCCUCGCCACUUCGCGCUUCGACUUCCGG